rfam:Myotis lucifugus cont2.2185, whole genome shotgun sequence.
GGUGGUUCUCAGGUGAUGCACUCCAGAAUCGGGCUCCCUCCUCUCUGGUUCUGGGUGUGCCACCCAAGAACAGCA